rnacentral:lncRNA from 1 species
AUGGCCUCCCCUGCUCUUGAUUUCCUAUUAUACUGUUCAGAUGGAGUAAAAGAUUGUAAGGAAUUCUGUUCAUUACGGACAAGCUGCUGGUGGACCACAGCAGGGAAGCCUUAUGUUUUGCUUUCAACAACAACUUCUAGAAAUUUUGAGGCUUUCAAAGUAUUCUCCUGUCUCCAGGCUGUUGCCUGUACUUCCCAUCUAUCUGGAACCAGGUUGACUCUUUUUUUUCCUUCUCUCUCAUUGAGUUUAUGGGUACAUUUUAGGUAUACAGUACAGUUACAUUCAUCAUUGGGAUCUUGUACCUUUACAUGACAGGUCUUGGUUCUCAUUUUUCCCCCUUACCCCUCCACUCCCCUCACCUCCUCCUCCCUUCCCUAUUUACAAAACUUUUUUCCAUUUUUUAAUUUUCUCGUAUUUUCCCCCUUAUUUCCUU